AUUUUUAAAACAUUUUUGUCAAGCCAGAUCCCAUCUGAUCUCGAAAGCUAAGCAGGGUUGGGCCUGGUUAGUACUUGGAUGGGAGACUACCUAGGAAGACCAGGUGCUGUAGAUG
rnacentral:rRNA from 1 species